rnacentral:rRNA from 1 species
GACGAACGCUGGCGGCGUGCUUAACACAUGCAAGUCGAACGGAAAGGCCCUGCUUUUGUGGGGUGCUCGAGUGGCGAACGGGUGAGUAACACGUGAGUAACCUGCCCUUGACUUUGGGAUAACUUCAGGAAACUGGGGCUACUACCGUAUAGCAGAUCCUGCUGCAUGGUGGGGGUUGGAAAGUCUCGGCGGUUGGGGAUGGACUCGCGGCUUAUCAGCUUGUUGGUGGGGUAGUGGCUUACCAAGGCUUUGACGGGUAGCCGGCCUGAGAGGGUGACCGGCCACAUUGGUACUGAGGUACGGCGCAGACUCCUACGGGAGGCAGCAGGGGGGAGUAUUGUACAAUGAGCCGAAGCCUGAUGCAGCAGCGCCGCGUGUGGGAUGACGGCCUUCGGGUUGUGAACCGCUUUCGCCUGUGACGAAGCGUGAGUGACGGUAAUGAGUGAAGAAGCACCGGCUAACUACGUG